AUCCUGCUGCGUGGUUACAGUCGUUGUUGACGAUAAGAGGUCAAUCAAUACCUGUUGGCAGGCAGAGAGGGGGCGGAUACCAGCUCAACUGAGUUUACGUAACGGAGGAGGAUGAGGUGAUGCUGACAAAGACUUCAGGAUUUUACAACUCUGGAAAGGACAGUCCUGCAGUGUUUUGCCGGAGCCCUCUACAUUGGCUCGCCUGCUGCAUCGCAGCCUUAAGUCCAGAUAUUAACACAAUCUGGGCACUGAGAGAAGCAGUCUUCAUUGUAUGGAGGACGGGACCUGCCAAACAUUUUCCUCCAUAUCAUUGAGACCCACAGACAGUGACAGUCUAUCCCUACUGAACACACGGACAGGAGUUGCGGCUGCUGAGCUGCUUGUGUCACAGAGCAGGUCAGUGACUGAGGUGUGGCUGAAGUGAUUCUGAAUCGGAUGAUCCACUCAGACCUGAGCAGCACUGACAGCGUGGCUUAACGGCUCCAUCCUCUCCUCUUCCUCUGGACGAGGGGGGAUACAGUCCUGACAGCUGAUGGAUCACAGAGGGACUAAAGUGCAACCGCAGCCAAACAAGUCAAUCCAAUACCCAUGAUGCAUCUGAUCCUAUACGAAUAAAUCAUUAACUUGUUGCUGCCCUCAGGGAGCAGGUCCCUGCAUAUUUGUAACUCCACCUGUAUAUGAUAUUAAAUACAUGUACAAA